rnacentral:rRNA from 1 species
GAUGAACGCUGGCGGCGUGCUUAACACAUGCAAGUCGAACGAUCAAGCCCAGCUUGCGGGGUGGAUUAGUGGCGAACGGGUGAGUAACACGUGAGUAACCUGCCCUUAACUCUGGGAUAAGCCUGGGAAACUGGGUCUAAUACCGGAUAGGAGCGCCUACCGCAUGGUGGGUGUUGGAAAGAUUUAUCGGUUUUGGAUGGACUCGCGGCCUAUCAGCUUGUUGGUGAGGUAAUGGCUCACCAAGGCGAGGACGGGUAGCCGGCCGGAGAGGUGGACCGGCCAAGAUGGGACGGGGAAAGGGCCCAGAUCCCUACGGGAGGCAGCAGGGGGAAAUAUUGCACAAUGGGGGAAAGCGUGAGGUAGAGACCCGGGGUGAGGGAUAACGGCCUUCGGGUUGUAAACCGAUUUCAGUAGGGAAGAGGCGAAAGUGACGGUACCUGCACAAGAAGCACCGGCUAACUACGUG